AUUGAACGCUGGCGGCAUGCCUUACACAUGCAAGUCGAACGGCAGCACGGGAGCGAUCCUGGUGGCGAGUGGCGAACGGGUGAGUAAUAUAUCGGAACGUGCCCAGUAGUGGGGGAUAACUGCUCGAAAGAGCAGCUAAUACCGCAUACGACCUGAGGGUGAAAGGGGGGGAUCGCAAGACCUCUCGCUAUUGGAGCGGCCGAUAUCAGAUUAGCUAGUUGGUGGGGUAAAGGCCUACCAAGGCAACGAUCUGUAGUUGGUCUGAGAGGACGACCAGCCACACUGGGACUGGGACACGGCCCAGACUCCUACGGGAGGCAGCAGUGGGGAAUUUUGGACAAUGGGCGCAAGCCUGAUCCAGCAAUGCCGCGUGCAGGAAGAAGGCCUUCGGGUUGUAAACUGCUUUUGUCAGGGAAGAGGUCCUCUAGGUUAAUAUCCUUGGGGGGAUGACGGUACCUGAAGAAUAAGCACCGGCUAACUACGUGCCAGCAGCCGCAGUAAUAC
rnacentral:rRNA from 1 species